rnacentral:ncRNA from 1 species
AUGUACUUGUAGAGAUCGACCUGGUUAUCUUUCACCUGCAAAUGGGCUCUGCGAUUCAGCAAGUUGCCUAGGAAAACUUUCUUGACUCACAUUUAUUAGAUUCUUGUCAUCCACUAUUGGAAAUGUGAUCUCGUAUCCAGUAGAAAGCACAAUCUGAACGAAACACUGCAUCGUAUUUUUAGUCACUAUCUAUGCAAUAAAACCCUGACUUUUGAAAGGGUGCAAUUAUUAGUGCAAACCAAUCAUCUUCGGAUGUUUUUUGCUGACUCUGAACAACGCAGCAUUUCGACGAAUUGUCCGCUGCUGUUCCGAAAAAGUGUCUGCCCUAUCAACCUGAUGGUAGUCUAUUAGUCUACCAUGGCUAUUAUGGGUAACGGAUAGUAAGAGUUCGACUCCGGAGAGUUGGUCUCAGAAACGGCUAUUACAUCCAAGGAAGGCA